GGGGGGAGGCCGGAUCCUGGGCUGUGUCCCGGCGCCCUGUGCUCCGGAGCCUGCGCUGGUGGAUUCGCGCUCCCGGGCCGCCGCCGCGCAGCCCCCU
rfam:Canis lupus familiaris chromosome X, whole genome shotgun sequence.